UACGUAGGGGGCAAGCGUUGUCCGGAUUUAUUGGGCGUAAAGCGCGUGUAGGCGGCCACGCAGGUCCGCUGUGAAAACUCGAGGCUCAACCUCGAGACGCCGAUGGAAACCAUCUGGCUAGAGUCCGGAAGAGGAGAGUGGAAUUCCCGGUGUAGCGGUGAAAUGCGCAGAUAUCGGGAAGAACACCCGUGGCUAAGGCGGCUCUCUAGUACGGUACUGACGCUGAGACGCGAAAGCGUGGGGAGCGAACAGG
rnacentral:rRNA from 1 species